rnacentral:rRNA from 1 species
GGUUAAGCGACUAAGCGUACACGGUGGAUGCCCUGGUGAAUACAUAGGUUAACGAGGCGAACCGGGGGAACUGAAACAUCUAAGUACCCCGAGGAAAAGAAAUCAACCGAGAUUCCCCCAGUAGCGGCGAGCGAACGGGGAGCAGCCCGGAGUCUGAAUCAGCUUGUGUGUUAGUGGAACGGUCUGGAAAGUCCGACGGUACAGGGUGAUAGUCCCGUACACGAAAAUGCACAGGCUGUGAACUCGAAGAGUAGGGCGGGA